AUUGAACGCUGGCGGCAGGCCUAACACAUGCAAGUCGAGCGAGCGGCGGACGGGGGAGGAAUGUAUGGGGACUGCCCGAUAGAGGGGGAUAAAUCCUGGAAAAGGUAGCUAAUACCGCAUACUAGCGGAUAACCCAUAUGGGAUUAGCUAGGAGGUGCGGUAAUGGCGCACCUAGGCGACGAUCCCUAGCUGGUCUGAGAGGAUGAUCAGCCACACUGGGACUGAGACACGGCCCAGACUCCUACGGAGGCAGUAGUGGGGAAUAUUGCACAAUGGGCGCAAGCCUGAUGCAGCCAUGCCGCGUGUAUGAAGAAGGCCCUAGGGUUGUAAAGUACGUUCAGUCGGGAGGCGUUACCGACAGAAGAAGCACCGGCUAACUCCGUGCCAGCCGCCGCGGUAAUUC
rnacentral:rRNA from 1 species